GGGCGGGCGCAGAGAGGGCGGGAGGGGUGGGGGGCGGUUGUGUGCGCUUGGCCUACUCCCCUCUGGGUUGGAUGGACUGCUCCGUCCCGAGGCAUGCUGGGAGCUGUAGUUCUGUGUUGCCGGGCGGCCACAUGGGCUCCGGGAUGCGCGGCUGGUCUUUCCCCGAGCCGGGGCCGGGCCGUGCGCACCGGGAGGCGCAGGCUGGCGCUGGAUGCAGGUUUAAGCUUGGAAAUAAAGGGGGAGUGAGGGAAGAAAAAAAGCAAAGCCUUACAGAGCCUCAGCUCCACCUAGGAACAAAUAACGGUCUGUCUGCUUCUGGAAGAACUUCCCACCGCUGAGGACGGAUGGGGCAGACCCCAGAAGCUAGAUGGGGUUGUGUGAGAGCUGGUGAUAGUGCCAGCAGGACUCCACAGCCGACAAGAGACAUCGUUGGCCUUGAUGUCCAUCGCAACGGAAAACGCUCGUUUAAUCCAAUUUGGGGAAGUCUGUCAAACUCUCAGAAACAAUAGCAGUGAGACUCUUAUGCAGUCAUGGUGAAAGUUUAGCACAGCGAAGAAACAGUGUGUAUUAGGUAAGGUGACAAAUGGAGUCACACCUCCCAGAAGUCCCAGUUUGAGGUCUUUAAGCUUUUUUUCUUGUUGGGGGAAGGCAGAGAGAGCCGAAUAUUAUCCAGGAAGGUGACCAAAUCCGUGCCUAAAAAGCUCAGCUGCUAAAGGUUUUAUAAAUGAUCUUUGCACUGCAAGUUUCAGUUUUCAUGAAGCCAAAUUGAGAUAAAUCCAAAAUUUUCUACGGAUUUAAAAGAACGCUUACUGAAAUAUUCUUGUCAUUCACAUUAAUAAUGGAGUGAGUGAACUUGUUCCACACAGUGACCUUACUUUAUUAUUUUGUUUGUUGUAUUCCAGCAAACUGUGUACAAUCCCGGGAGCAUAGGCACGGUCUUGUGUAGCACUGUCAUUCUGCCCCACCGCUCUGAUAUCUAACAAAGUAAUACAUUCUGGAUGUUGUCUACAAAUUCUUUCCUUCCUUAUGUAAGAGGUCGAUGCGCGUGUCGCCUAGUUUGUCACAGAGCAUCACUGAAGUACUGUUUUAUUUGUAUUUGUGAAGACAGCAGAAUCAAAGACAGCGGGUCGGUGACUCCCACCGAGAUGGUCAUUAAGAUAAAACAGUGAAGUUUCUAGCAUAUAUUAAAAAGCCUGGAGGAAUUAGCAUAGCUUGCAGGAAAGCGUGCUGGAAAGAGAUGAUAUUUGAGAGCAAGCGUGAAAAUGUCGUCUUUUUACCAAGAAUGAUGAGAACUGAUGCGUCUGCCCUGCGUUUGGAUAGAAGAUGCCUUGGAUUUAAAGACGGUGUGUAUUAAAUGAAGUAUGAGAAGAAACAGCUUCUUCGGACACUUGCGCUCCUCUUCUUCAGCUCGUGGAGAAGGCUGACAGCCUGUCUCACUCUCGUCAGUGCUAUCCCACCAGCUCCUUUAGGAGCCCAGCACCGCGUUUGGCCUGUUGCGAUCUUCCCGCUCCCCUCAUUUCUGUGCUGCAACGCCACCAUCCACAAGAAGUCAGACAGGAAAAAAGCUCUUUCCAGAGAGAUGGAGAAGGAAUUAAUUAGACCUCUGCCUCAUCCUGCAAGACCAGAAGACAUGGAGUAACUGUAAGCUGCGAUUCUCAGGAGACAUACUAAGAGUCUCGGGUUCCUUUUCUGCCCGCCCCCCAAGGCCUUGGGCACGUUGGGUUCACCCUGGGAAGGGCACGUUGCUCAGGGCAGUUAUUUCCUCCCCUAGACGACGUGGGGUGCAUUUUUCUGCUGCACUUGUGGUUUUCCACCUGUGGUUUUUCACUUGUGGUUUUCCACGUGGUUCGCACUGCUUCCAUUAUUGAGAAAACGGUUUGGGAAGCUGUGUCUGCCACUUCUCAGGAUUUUCUGCCACCACCUGCUGGCAAAAAAAAUCAGUAACGCAGGUGGAGCCAUGUAGGACUUCUCAGAGGUAAGCCUUCAACGUACGGGGACCCCUAAACUCGUGAGCCGAGCACGCAAGACAAAUGUCCGUGGCACAAAGAUCAAGGACGACUUCUCAGAGGUAAGCAGCUUUCCCUUUGUUUUCCCGUCCUCUCAGGAGCCCUCCUUAUGAUGCUUGUACACACUUCAGGCUCACAACACUCAUUUUCUCCUCUACUUAGUAUUCCUAGUCCCUGGCUAACCCGUCCUCCCUCCCCCCACUUUCCAAAGACCUACGUGCUCUGCUCAGGUCCCUCCUGAGGUCUUACAGAUCUUUUAAAUCUGCUCAGCGUUCUUUCCGGCUUGUUCUGUGCCAUUAUUUUUUCCCUGCUCCUUUUGAGAAUGUCUGUACCCUUUUCAGAUCUCGAUUGGGUUGGCUUUUUUGAAUCCAUCUGCAUAGCCUUUUGUUUUUUAGAUAGUCUACUAAGGUAUGUUACUUCUCCGGUGAGUUAUUUUACUACAUUGAAUUGUAUUUUUGUGGUUUGUAAUCUGUUACAGUCCUAGAUUAUUUCUACCUAUGUAAAGAAAGGUUUCAGCUAAUUACAGUCAAAACCAGUGUUAGUUACCUAUUUGGUCAUAUUGUCGUUUCAAUAAUCAGGACUGAAGCAAAAGCACAGGAAUUGUUGCCUCUAGUAACACUCCACACACUGUUGAGCUAAGCCAAAUAAAAAACGCAGCUGCUGCUCUCUUUAUCCCUUCCUGUGCUUUGCCCCUCCUCUUUCCCAGGUGAUUGGAGCAGGGUGCCGGGUGGGGCCUAAUGGUAUAUGAGCCGCAGGUGUCCUGUCAGAGAGCUCAUUCUGCCUGAGCUGCUCUUUGGGUAGGUAAACCUUAGGAGGAAUCGGUCAAAGGAAACAGCAACUGUCAAGUUCUUGUUCGGCAACUUGGUGACUGAUUUGAUCUACUUCUCAGAUGUAGAGGCAAAUGGACUGCUCUUUUGAAAUGAUAAAAUAAAAAACAUGAAGUUCGUCAAA